UUCCAACGCUACCACCACCUCCAUCUCCGGCAGCAUCACCACCUCCUGCGGUUGGCGCUUCACCCGCGCAACCUCCGCCCACCUUUGUAUCCACGACACCUGCGUCGUCCUCGCUGCAGCCUGUAACACGCGGACACGUACUCUGUAAUGGAAAGCUGUACAUUCGAGGCGAGACAGCGAAGUCGACUAUCCGAGAUUCUCCGAGUUGGACCGCACGUGCAAGAUUGGCCGCGAUCAAUCAACAACGCGUAUCUGGCAGCGGGUAUCGGUUUACACGUGCGAUGCGUGGAGCUAAUCUCGACUACCUUCGUCAAUUACCAAUAUGCAUGGCGGGUCAUCACAUCAGUCACAUAAUCCCCGGCGUGGCGCACGUGUACGCGAUGCGGAACGCGUUCACUGAAAGUAUUUACUGAAGGAAUAAAGAAGAAAAAAAAAA